AGGACGAACGCUGGCGGCGUGCUUAACACAUGCAAGUCACGGGGGCCCGCAAGGGUAACCGGCGAACGGGUGCGUAACACGUGAGCAACCUGCCUAGAUGUGGGGGAUAGCCGGCCCAACGGCCGGGUAAUACCGCAUACGGUCACGAGGAGGAGUCUCCUUGUGAAGAAACCUCCGGGGCAUUUAGAGGGGCUCGCGGCCUAUCAGCUAGUUGGCGGGGUAAUGGCCCACCAAGGCUUCGACGGGUAGCUGGUCUGAGAGGACGAUCAGCCACACUGGGACUGAGACACGGCCCAGACUCCUACGGGAGGCAGCAGUGGGGAAUUUUGCGCAAUGGGGGAAACCCUGACGCAGCAACGCCGCGUGGAGGAUGAAAUAUCUUGGUAUGUAAACUCCUUUCGAUGGGGAAGAUAAUGACGGUACCCAUAGAAGAAGCCCCGGCUAACUACGUGCCAGCAGCCGC
rnacentral:rRNA from 1 species